rnacentral:rRNA from 1 species
UACGUAGGGACCGAGCGUUGUCCGGAAUCAUUGGGCGUAAAGAGCGUGUAGGCGGCCACUUAAGUCCUGCGUGAAAUCUUGCGGCUCAACCGCAAGCGGUCGUGGGAAACUGGGUGGCUAGAGUGCGGGAGAGGAGAGUGGAAUUCCUGGUGUAGCGGUGGAAUGCGCAGAUAUCAGGAAGAACACCCGUGGCGAAGGCGGGUCUCUGGGCCAUUACUGACGCUGAGGAGCGAAAGCGUGGGGAGCGAACAGG